rnacentral:rRNA from 1 species
UAGAGUUUGAUCAUGGCUCAGAACGAACGCUGGCGGCAGGCCUAACACAUGCAAGUCGAGCGCGCCUUCGGGUGAGCGGCGGACGGGUUAGUAACGCGUGGGAACGUGCCCUUUUCUACGGAAUAGCCUCUGGAAACGGAGAGUAAUACCGUAUACGCCCUUUGGGGGAAAGAUUUAUCGGAGAAGGAUCGGCCCGCGUUAGAUUAGGUAGUUGGUGGGGUAACGGCCUACCAAGCCUACGAUCUAUAGCUGGUUUUAGAGGAUGAUCAGCCACAUUGGGACUGAGACACGGCCCAGACUCCUACGGGAGGCAGCAGUGGGGAAUAUUGCGCAAUGGGGGAAACCCUGACGCAGCCAUGCCGCGUGAGUGACGAAGGCCUUAGGGUUGUAAAACUCUUUCGCUAGGGAAGAUAAUGACGGUACCUAGUAAAGAAGCCCCGGCUAACUCCGUGCCAGCAGCCGCGGUAAUACGGAGGGGGCUAGCGUUGUUCGGAAUCACUGGGCGUAAAGCGCGCGUAGGCGGACUGAUUAGUUGGGGGUGAAAGCCCGGAGCUCAACUCCGGAACUGCCUUCAAUACUGUCAGUCUUGAGGUCGAGAGAGGUAAGUGGAAUUCCGAGUGUAGAGGUGAAAUUCGUAGAUAUUCGGAAGAA